UACGAAGGGUGCAAGCGUUAAUCGGAAUUACUGGGCGUAAAGCGCGCGUAGGUGGUUCAGUAAGUUGGAUGUGAAAUCCCCGGGCUCAACCUGGGAACUGCAUCCAAAACUGCUGAGCUAGAGUACGGUAGAGGGUAGUGGAAUUUCCUGUGUAGCGGUGAAAUGCGUAGAUAUAGGAAGGAACACCAGUGGCGAAGGCGACCACCUGGACUGAUACUGACACUGAGGUGCGAAAGCGUGGGGAGCAAACAGG
rnacentral:rRNA from 1 species